rnacentral:rRNA from 1 species
AUACGUAGGGGGCAAGCGUUAUCCGGAUUUACUGGGUGUAAAGGGAGCGUAGACGGUAAAGCAAGUCUGAAGUGAAAGCUCGGGGCUCAACCCCGGAACUGCUUUGGAAACUGUUUUACUGGAGUGCAGGAGAGGUAAGCGGAAUUCCUAGUGUAGCGGUGAAAUGCGUAGAUAUUAGGAGGAACACCAGAGGCGAAGGCGGCUUACUGGACUGUAACUGACGUUGAGGCUCGAAGGCGUGGGGAGCAAACAGGAUUAGAUACCCUGGUAGUCCACGCGGUAAACGAUGAUCACUAGGUGUCGGCGGCCAUAGGCGGUCGGUGCCGCAGCAAACGCAAUAAGUGAUCCACCUGGGGAGUACGUUCGCAAGAAUGAAACUCAAAGGAAUUGACGG